UAUAAGUCUGAUGUGAAAGCCUUCGGCUUAACCGGAGAAGUGCAUCGGAAACUGGAUAACUUGAGUGCAGAAGAGGGUAGUGGAACUCCAUGUGUAGCGGUGGAAUGCGUAGAUAUAUGGAAGAACACCAGUGGCGAAGGCGGCUACCUGGUCUGCAACUGACGCUGAGACUCGAAAGCAUGGGUAGCGAACAGGAUUAGAUACCCUGGUAGUCCAUGCCGUAAACGAUGAGUGCUAGGUGUUGGAGGGUUUCCGCCCUUCAGUGCCGGAGCUAACGCAUUAAGCACUCCGCCUGGGGAGUACGACCGCAAGGUUGAAACUCAAAGGAAUUGACGGGGGCCCGCACAAGCGGUGGAGCAUGUGGUUUAAUUCGAAGCUACGCGAAGAACCUUACCAGGUCUUGACAUCUUGCGCCAACCCUAGAGAUAGGGCGUUUCCUUCGGGAACGCAAUGACAGGUGGUGCAUGGUCGUCGUCAGCUCGUGUCGUGAGAUGUUGGGUUAAGUCCCGCAACGAGCGCAACCCUUGUUACUAGUUGCCAGCAUUAAGUUGGGCACUCUAGUGAGACUGCCGGUGACAAACCGGAGGAAGGUGGGGACGACGUCAGAUCAUCAUGCCCCUUAUGACCUGGGCUACACACGUGCUACAAUGGACGGUACAACGAGUCGCGAACUCGCGAGGGCAAGCAAAUCUCUUAAAACCGUUCUCAGUUCGGACUGCAGGCUGCAACUCGCCUGCACGAAGUCGGAAUCGCUAGUAAUCGCGGAUCAGCAUGCCGCGGUGAAUACGUUCCCGGGCCUUGUACACACCGCCCGUCACACCAUGAGAGUUUGUAACACCCAAAGUCGGUGGGGUAACCU
rnacentral:rRNA from 2 species